GUGAGUCUGCCCGGCGUGGCUGCCCGGCUCCCUUCCCUGGGGCGGGGCGGGCGGCGCGGCAGGUGGGUGCCCAGGCCCCGGAGGCCGAGGGGGUGCUGGGCGGCUGCCUGGAGGGUGGGUGGGAGCCGGAGCGGACCGGGGGCGACUCUCCGGGGACCCGGCGCGACUUGUCUGGGCUGCGAUCGCCGCGGCUUCCGCCACCCCGGCGGUCCCCACCCCAGCCCCUUCCCCAGAGGGGCGUGUGGGGCCGGGAGGUGGGACCCCCGGGGGCUAAGGCUGGGGCUUGGAAAUGAAAGAGGCGGUCGGAAAGCCAGCCACCCGCCCCCACCCCGGAGAGCCCGUUCGGGAAACUGACUCGCUGCGUGACCCCGAUAUCAACGCGGUGGGGGAGCAGGCUGGCCCGCUCGCGCCUCGGGGAUCCGGGGCCCGGGGCCUCGGAAGGAGCGGGGAGGAUGUCCCCCGAGAGUCACCGCCGUCCCCACAGAAAGUUAGGGGGCCCCUCCCUGGAGGAGCAGGCGGCUCUGGCACGUUGCCUUUAGCCUUGAUGGACAGGAGUGAAAUAAGUAAAACCUGGGCUCCAGGGUGCUGACCGGGGUACCCGGGCCAGAGACACCACGUUAGCGGAAGAAAAAGUUAGAUAAAGGAAAAAAUAAAAGGCAUUUUGAUUUGGGGGUGGGGGGAGUGGCGUUUCGGAUUUCUCCUGCUUCCAACCCCGUCGAGGGGAGCGCUGGAAUGUGGCGUUCAGAUCCUCUGAGGACACAUCCAUAUUUAUAAUUUAUUUUUAGGAGAAGUUGUGACUAGGGGAGGAGGGUUACACUGGGGAAAAAAGGUGUGCUCGAAAGGCGGCCUUUCCCGAGCCCCGGGGCUAAUUGGACCCUUAGGGUGGGAACAGGCCUCCCUAUCGGGACAGCAGCAAAUUUGACUUUAAUGGGUGACAAUUAAGGGCAUAAAUAACUAAACUUUCUUUAGCUGGAGGGGGAGCCUUACAGGCGCCUCUGACGCUCCAUUGAUGCUUUGCUGGGGGACUUUGGGGGAACUCCUGGUAUUUUCUGGGGUUUUGCGCCUGAGUGUUAGCAGGGAGCAAGCGGUGACUGCUCCCCGAGGGAGGUGACGGUCCCACGGGUGGACAAAUGCGCCCUUCCUCCCACAGCGACACCUUGGCUUUCUGGGAGAUGAACCGCCUUCCUGAGGGAAAAAGCCAGGAACGAUUCCUUUAACGAUCUAGGAUUCUCCCAGUCCUGCCUCCCAGGCAGCUCGCUCCCGAGCACGGAGCUGUGAGGGGACUCACUUCGGGAGGAAGAAGGCUCCGGAGGCUGUGGGCCCAGAAUCGGGGUUUUGAGGGCGAGAUGAGUUUAUGUUUUAUCCAACUGGCCCACAAAGUCCCGCUUUUGGGGUCAUUCUUAACAGCGAGGGAUUCAGGCCCUGGCAGCCCCUGAAGAGUGAGGGUGGGGCGCGGAUCGCCCAGGCUGCUCCUCUAAAACCGGCUGGGGAAAGGGAGCCCUUGCUACUUCCGAAAAAGUGAGGCCCAACGUGGGGUGAGGGUGGGAUGCUCUUACAAUGCGUGUGUUCUCCGUGUGCUUGAACCUGCUGUGAUUUCAAGGCCUCUCCUUGGGAGGCCAGAAAGAUCCACCGCCCUCACCCCAGGGGCUUAAGGAGGUGUAGUAGUGACAGAAUUGGCAGGCUGUAUCAAAGUGUUUGAAAUUCCCUAAAUAAAGUACCACUAGCAUCAUAAAUCCUAAUGCCAUCAGAUUUCUCUUUACGUUUGUCAAAGGAGCAGCCUGCCGUUUCAGAACUGCAGUACUGUCUCUUUGCAAUUCGUUACUACCUCGAUAUUGAAGGCAUUUAAUAAGAAAGACUAGAUAAUAUGUCCAGGGGAGUCUCUAAGGUGGUACCAAUGCCCCUCUCAGGGGCAUUAAGCUUACUAAGAUAUAUUAAUUCAUACCCACACACCUGUCCUCCUGUCCAAACCUAUAUAGAUGUCCACACCCCCUAAGUUAUUUCCAAACCUGGAUUUAAAUUAAGUGUUCACAGCAGGGAACAUAAAACUGAGCUGUACCCGAGAAACUUUUGAACACAGAGUUCUUGAUAAAAGAUCUAGUGAUUUGAUAGACUUGGCACAUGGACACACAGAUGACAUUUGUGCUGCCUUGGCAAAAUGUUCUUUACUUUCAGAGUCCUUUCUCUUUACUACAGGACACAAUAAACAGCACAAUUUCCAGGAGUCCGCAGUUCCAACGUGGCUUGUCCGUGGGAACUUGUCACAUUGAGAACUGUGUUUGUGCUUUGCUGAAUUGCCACCCCGAGCUGUCAGAUCCUAUUUGCUUUGCUAAAUAAGGAUAUCUUACUAAAUUAGCCUUUAAUGAUACCUCUACACAUAGGGUGUUUUACGUGAAUUAACAAGGCCGGAACACUGCAUGUUAUGCCAAGAUACUGAGCUAUAAUCGAGGCGGUGAAGCUGAAUGUUAAAAUUACUGACUUGUUAAGUGUGGAAAAUCAGACAGAAUUUAGUUCUAAAUGUGAUACGAUUUCUGCUUUAAUGGUGAGCAUUCCCAAAACAUAGGCAUUGCUUAUAUUUGGCCCUCUGAAACCAUGCAUAUAAUUAUGAAUACAUUUAGCAAACUUUCCCCCUCUCCGAGUCUACAAAUAAGCAAAGUAAUGUGGUGAAGUGAUUAUAAAUCAGUACUUUGCAGUGAAAGGUCGCCAUUAAUUCAGCAAAGAACUGCAGCUCCUUUCCAUAUUCUUACCAUCCUCCUGCCCCCCUCCAACCGGUAAGAAAAAAAAAAUUGACGUGGAACUGCUGAAUACACGUUGGCUUUUCUCCUUUUGCUUCGGUGUGUGAAAUUUCAUUAAUCAUUUGCUAUUCCUCCCUCUAAGAGGUGUGGAUUUAGGGGAAGAAAUAGCAACUUUGAAAUUUAGUUCUUAGCAGUGUAUAACCCAUAAAGGAAAAAAAAUUUAAUAGAAAAGAAUAAAGUAUGGUUGGGGGUAAAAUAGUUAGAGAUGCAAUGAAAAUGACACUUUGUUCGAAAUCAAACAUGCAUUUGUGACUAAAACCAAUGAAAGUUGGAAAAAUCCCCACCUGGGAAUUCCCUCUAUGUCUUGCUCAUUAGCAUUCCCACCCUAACAUUGAGAACCAGGAAAAGAUUCUUGCCAGAUAAACUUAGAGCUCCCUAAGGUGGGCAGCUCACCCUUCUCUAAUUUGGACUGCAGAGUAAAUACCACUAUUUUAGGCAUGAGGAUAAAAAUUAGUCUGGCGAACAGUGAAGGCAAACUCUGUACUUAAGAGUCACUUACCAGAAAAUAAGUGCAUAUACCAACAAAAUAAAACAUUAUUGACCAGUGUUACUUUACCACAGAAUUUUCUUUCAUGUUUGCCAUCCUGAAUGCAGGAAAAUAUGGUCCUUUUUGCUUCUUAGAUUUAGAAUAAGAUGAGAAUAAACCCGGAACAACAACCCUGACACCCACAAAGUUGAUGUAAAGAAUCAUAGACUUUUCAGGCCCAGCAGUCAUGAACCUAUCCAGGGAGAGGUGGACAUUAAAGAAACAGUGUCUGGGCCGGGGAUUUAGCUCAGUGGUUCUGCUGCCUGCCUCGCAAGCGCAAGGACCUGAGUUCGAUCCCCCGUACCAAAAAAAAAAAAAAAAAAAGAAAAGAAAAAGAAACAGUGUCUAAGGAGUAGACCUUGGGGUUCUUCCAUCACCCCAUGCUAGGCUGAGCCCCCAGCUCCCUUCGUGGUCUCUUUCCAAAGUAGCUAGCCUUCAGAUGCUGCCUUCUCAGCGGGCCCAGUUGCAGGGGACAUAUGCAAAUAUUUACAAAGCUUUCAAAUAAAGGUUCUGGUUUUCCUGUCUUCUUUAUAGAAAACAUCUAAAUUUACAGAACAUAAAGCAAACUUUUCCCCAUUGUCUCUGAAUGCUGGCACUCUAGAAAAUGCAAACGUCUUGGUGUCACAAGAGAGCCGUUUGAAAAUGCUCUGGCAAGAGGGGUGUGUGUGUGGCACAUGUAAGCGUUUCUUGGAGAUGGGGACUGGGCAGGGGGAGGAGUCAGCGGCUGGUCGGAGCCUGAAGUUAGUUGAACCUCAUGGGGUGAAAAUUUUCUGAGAAGAGCAGCAAACUCGACUGUCCUGUUGGAAUUGGACAUGAAAUCAGUGCCCAGGCCUCUGUCAUCUGUGCCCAAACCAGCCUGGACCGCUGCCAGCUGAGGCCCAGACAUGGCCGAAUGUAGCCACUGCUGGAGCCCAAACAUGCUCCAGACAGUUGCCUGGGGGGAUCUCCUCCUGGGACCCAGGCGGCAGCAGUUCAGCCAGAGGUGGGGUGUUUGGCUCCCAGGGCAGCCUCCCCAGACACUCUUCGGGGCUCAGUAGCUUGUGGGUGCUGGGGCCCAGAGGGCAGUACCUCACUUUGUUCAGAGGUAAACAGGUGACGUUGUCCCUGUCCCACAAGCUCGGAGCAAAUCCAGCCUGUGUGAGACCACAGUGACUGGAAAAGAGUCCAGUGCAGGUUUGUUCCUGUAGCCAUUGCUGGUCUUUUCUCCAGGCACGAGGAGUAUCCUGUCCCCUAUCCAGGGACUCUACUCCCUUUUCUUUUCUUUUUCUUUUUUUUUUUUUUGCAGUAGCAGGGAUUGAACUCAGGACUUGCACUUGCGAGACAGGCGCAGCUAAAUCCCAGGCCCCUAAGGGAGCCUACUGCUUCCACAGGGUGGGAGGCAAACUGGGCUGAGGGGCAGAGGUGUAGCCUAGAUGUGGAGAGGAGGCUUUGGAAGGCUAUCAGAGGACAGGAGGUGGGGGGCAAGUACGCAGAGAAAGAGGCGGACAUCUGAGCCAGCUUCAGGGUCAGCCAGGCCAGGGGCUGAGUGGGCAUGCUGGGCUGAAGCCUUCAGGAAAGAGGUGUGCAGCCUGCUGAGCCCUGGCAUCUAGGGUGCCCACUCCGCGAAGCCGGGCCCAGGCCUGAGUCAGCCAAACCCUGGGACUCCCAUUUGGCCCCAGUAACUGGAUUCCAGGCCACCAAAGGCCUUGUGGGUUCCUGAUUGUGUCUCGGGAUGGCAUUAUAAGGCCUUGAUGGAGAGCUCAUGGGCUGUGCCAUAUUUAGCUACAGGUUCACCCAGAGAAUAUUUUGGGUGCUGCUUGAAAGGGGAGCUCUGAGCCCUGUUGCUGACUGUCACAAGGCAGGGGUGGGAUCGCUUCCUCGCAGGCCUGGCCCAGAAGCUUAGAGACUCUGCCAAGGCUUUGGGACCAUGCAGUGGGUUCUAGGGAGCCAGGAAGUGCCCUGGGAGCCAGUUCUGGGCUGGGAACAUGUUGGGAAGGCUUUUCGCCCUGUUUUCGUUGAGCAGCGAUAAGGCCACUUCCAUUCAUAGAACUCACAGAGGCCAUUUUCAGCCUCUGUCUUCUCCAAGAUGGCCCAGUGUGAUAUGCCAGGCUGCUGAGUGAGUGGCCUCCUCCUCAGGUGUCAGCCACGGGGGCAGGGUUAACCCUUUCAAGGCCCUCGGUGUGGGCUGGCACAGGGGCAGCCUUCUGCACAGACGGCCACGGUCCUGUGUGCUUGUUUCCCUUAAUCCUCAGACCCUAGUGGCAGACCCAAGAGGGAACCUUAGCAGUGAUGCCACCCCAUUGGUGAUAACCACUUGGCUCUCCUACCCAAGCCUUCUACCUGCUGGUCAUCCAGCUGUGGAAACAGCUGCUUACCUUCCAGAUGUUUUCGUCUGGGUCUCAAAGUUAACUGACUUUCCCCUAAUGCAGAGGAGGGGGCAUUAAUAGCUAGGCUUUCGCUUUGAUCAUCGGGAAGGGCUGGAAUAACCGUUUGGGGUUUGGGGCAAAUGUUGCAGGCUCCUCGGGGUCACUGGCCUUAGGGAAUAAUCUGUGUGACCAUUUCUGGACCCUGGUCUGGGUUCCUGGAGGGAGGGGCGCGUCUGUAUGGAAGCUAUGGCUUGGAGACAUCUUUAGCCCAUUAUUCUGAGGACAGCGAGGUUCCUUCCAGGAGCCUAUGCGAGCUGACACACACCCUGAAAGCAUCCACUUGUUUAAAGUUUGCUCUAACUUUGUACAUUUUUUCCCUUUUAGUUUGGCUCUUGGUGCUCCAAGAGCCCCCACUUCCUGCCAGCUGGUUACCGCAGGGAAAAUGAGGGACUUUUGGGGGCAGAUGUGUUUCCGUUCCACUAUCAUAAUGCCCCUAAAAAUCCUUAUUGCUCUUGCAGUAUUCCUCGGGGUCCCCGGGCCAGGAAGACGGCGGCUCUGGGCUCCUCCAGCAACACAGAGAGGAGAGCGAGGUGUCCCCAGAUGGGCAUCCCUCCCACAGUCCCUCUGCUUCCCUGGAAGAUCUGUCCGCACCAUGCUCAGAACCAGUCACCCUCCCCUAAAAGAGAGGAUUUCAUUUACAAACAUGAACGCUGGUUACUAAACUCGCUUUUUGCCCUCCAGGCUCAGAUCGGUGGAGCUCAGGCCUGGGAAGAAGAGGCCACUGAGACACAUGGGGAAACCACAGUCCAGCAGUAUGCCUGGGUUUCUGGAAGCAGCCAUGCUUAUGAUCCAGCCUACGAUCUGUGACUCUUGCUGUGUUGCCCCAGGGAUGUGACUCAACCUCUCUGGGCCUCCAGUGCCUCGUGCAUGACACCCACAGCUUGGAUGAGAAGUUUCCCAAAUCUCUUAUGCACAUCUGCUCUAUGACUUUCAGAGGUACCUGGCUGAAGAUAAAAAUUUCUUAAAUAGGUGUUUCUUUGCAUGGCUGAUUUCUAUUUAUGGCAAUAGGUUGGUGUUCCCUAUAGGGGGGAUAUGUCUCCUUUUCUGUCGAAAUCAAUUUAUGUGGGUAAGAAAUGAGUCUCCUUCUUGAAAGAGAAAUGCAAAGCAAAUUAUGGCAGGUGGCCUGAGGAUGGGACCAAAAUCGAGACAACAGUUUGUAAAGUUUCAUGGGCCCACUUUUUAGAAAGAGUUCGUGUUUCUCUUAGGGGUUUUCUGUACCCUUAGUUGAUGGUGGGGGGAGUAAGUUGCCAGUUAAACCCAUGCUGUGUCCUGUGUUGUCCUUGGGGUCCCAACACCAGAGGCCCUCCCCAACUCCCCCCAUCCGUAGACCCCAUUUACCUCCACCCUGGGGUCACAGUGACCCAGUGCUCUCCUUCCCCGAUGGCUCACCUCUCUGAGCCUGUUUGCUCAGGGAAAUGGGGAGAAGAAACGCCCUGUGAAUGAGAUCAGGGGGUUGGGGAGCCUCACCACGAAGCAGGGAGAGUUCUGGAACAGGGCACCGGCUCAGGGGGCAGCAGGUGCCAGGGGCCCUGGAGCAGGUGGGGCAUGGCGGGGGCGCCCUUGUCCAGCGGGCCGUGCAGUGCUGGG
rnacentral:lncRNA from 1 species